GGGGUUGUAGCUCUGUGGUAGAGCACUCGCCUCUCAUGUGUGAGACACUGGGUUCCAUCCUCAGCACCA
rnacentral:tRNA from 1 species